rnacentral:rRNA from 1 species
CCUACGGGUGGCAGCAGUGGGGAAUAUUUGGCAAUGGGCGCAAGCCUGACCCAGCAACGCCGCGUGAAGGAAGAAGGCUUUCGGGUUGUACACUUCUUUUGUCAGGGAAGAGUAGAAGACGGUACCUGACGAAUAAGCCACGGCUAACUACGUGCCAGCAGCCGCGGUAAUACGGAGGUGGCAAGCGUUGUCCGGAUUUACUGGGUGUAAAGGGCGGGUAGCCGGGUUGACAAGUCAGAUGUGAAAUCCUGCGGCUUAACCGCAGAACUGCAUAUGAAACUGUUGAUCUUGAGUAAUGGAGAGGGAGACGGAAUUCCUAGUGUAGCGGUGAAAUGCGUAGAUAUUAGGAGGAACACCAGUGGCGAAGGCGGUCUGCUGGACAGCAACUGACGGUGAGGCGCGAAAGCGUGGGGAGCGAAAGGGAUUAGAUACCCCAGUAGUC